rnacentral:rRNA from 1 species
AUUGAACGCUGGCGGCAGGCUUAACACAUGCAAGUCGAGCGAGCGGCCGAACGGUGAGUCAUUUCUGGGAAACUGCCUGAGUCACGGGGAUAAAUCAUGGGAACGAUAGCUAAUAACGCAUACCAUCAGAUGUGGCCGGAUUGGAUUAGGUAGUAGGUGGGGUAAUGGCUCACCUAGGCGACGAUCCCUAGCUGGUCUGUGAGGAUGACCAGCCACAUGUGAACUGAUACACGGUCCAGACGCCUACGGGAGGCAGCAGUGGGGAAUAUUGCACAAUGGGCGCAAGCCUGAUGCAGCCAUGCCGCGUGUGUGAAGAAGGCCUUCGGGUUGUAAAGCACUGUCAUCGGGGAAGCGUUACUCGCAGAAUAAGCACCUGCUAACUCCGUGCCAGCAGCCGCGGUAAUAC